CUGGAACGGCUGCUAAACCCCAUAUGCCGAGGGGUGAAAAAGAUUUCUGCCUAAGGAAGAGCUCGCGGCUGAUUAGCUAGUUGGUAGGAUAAAAGACUACCAAGGCAACGAUCAGUAGCUGGUUUGAGAGGACGAUCAGCCACACUGGGACUGAGACACGGCCCAGACUCCUACGGGAGGCAGCAGUGGGGAAUCUUCUGCAAUGGGCGAAAGCCUGACAGAGCAAUACCGCGUGAGGGAUAAAAGCCUGAGGGUCGUAAACCUCUUUUUUCAGGGAAGAAAUUUGACGGUACCUGAAGAAUAAGCAUCGGCUAACUCCGUGCCAGCAGCCGCGGUAAUACGGGGGAUGCAAGCGUUAUCCGGAAUCACUGGGCGUAAAGCGUCUGUAGGUGGCUUUUCAAGUCUGCUGUUAAGACUGAGGCUUAACCUCAGAAAACAGUGGAAACUGACAAGCUAGACAUGGUAGGGGUAAGGUGAAUCCCAGUGUAGCGGUGAAAUGCGUAGAUAUUGGGAAGAACACCUGUGGCGAAAGCGCUUUACUGGACCAUUGCUGACACUGAGAGACGAAAGCUAGGGUAGCAAAUGGGAUUAGAUACCCCAGUAGUC
rnacentral:rRNA from 1 species